GCCCCUCCACCGCCACCCCUAGAAGUCUCUCCCAUCGCCGCCUCGCAAUAAUGCAACUGCAUGCAGUUGCGUUACCGACCAACUAUAGGUAGACUACCGUGUCGGAGGAGAGAGUGAUACUGUUCCUGCAGUUACGUAAAAGUCGAUAGAAAUUUCGAUUUUUGUGUCUCCCACCACCACCUUCGCCAACCCCAGUCCUCCUUCGUAGAGUGCGGUUUCCUCCAUGACGAGCUGUCCGAUCGCUUCUUCGAUCCCAUUUCUCUAAGCAGAUUAAGUGCUGUUCGACAGACUGAUGCUACCAGAUAAUCUAACGAACUUUUUAAAUAAUUAUUUCAUAUGACGAACGUAUUUAUUUAAUAUUAUGGAACAACGUUUCUGUAACAUGUUCCCGUGUAUCAUGUUCAAUGUCCCUAAUGUGGUACGUCCGUGUGGCAUGUCCGUUUCAAAAUGGGGACAUUGAAUAGAGAUGCCAAAAAUUCCAGAAAUCGGGACAAUGGAACAAUUGAAGUACACAAUAUGGAACGUCACUGAUCUCUGCAUCUUCAACAUCGUGUGCUUAUGCUAAUUCUAUUGCAUACGUUUGGACGUAGUUAUUACAUCUCUGCGGACAUGACGAAUUUAAACGUAAUGCCGAGCUAUUAUGCAGAAUUGCGAUGAUAUCCAAGAGAAGUAUUAUGGUUAAUUAAGAAAAUAGAAUUGCCAAUGGAACAUGAACAGGAAUUUAUGUCACACACACAAGAGAGAGAGAGAGAGAGAGAGAGAGAGAGAGAGA